AGCCCGGGCUGCAGGUGGAAUG
rnacentral:tmRNA from 1 species